rnacentral:lncRNA from 1 species
AAGCAUGCUUCCCAUGAGUCUUUACUGAUCUGUUUUGAAGCAAGGCACACAUGCACUUGCCAGCUAGUUUUUUUGGGUUGAAUUACCAUUGCUUUUGGAGGGAAAUUGGAUCAGAUUAAGGGCUCCUCUUCUUCUAUAAAUAAGAGGGUCAUUACCUUGUAAAAAGCACUUUUGAGCUAUAGUGAAAUGCUGCAGAAAUUAUUUUCCAGCCCUAUUGCUCUUGAGUCACUUCUUCUCUUUACUUUCUCUACCUUUUCCUCUAGCUUCCUUCCAUAGUGGGAAGGCCUUCUGAGCUGAGAGGAUACUCCACACAUUCCCAACAUCACCGAACACUACAAUUCCACUGAAUUCCAUCUACAUCCGCUGCAUCUUCAUUCAUGUCCGUUGCACCACUCUGCCAAUCAACUUGCCUGCUGUUUGAAUUUGUAUUCUGCAAGAUCUAGGCCUGGGCAAGCUUCCAUCAACUCCUCACCAAGGAAAGUGUUUCACUCAAGCAUACAAGUGUAUAUUGAGGUGACUCAUUCUCUCUACUAUUACAAUGUCACACAAAUUAACUUUGCCUUUCAUUUAACCACAAUCAAUCAAACUCACAAGCAAGUUAUCAUCACAAGGACUUUUUAUGGCUUGUAACGUGGUUGGGCUAAGAAGAACAUUGGUUUUUCUGGAUCACAAAAUCCUUGAGUUAAGAGAGUUAUUCACAUUUAUAAUUUAAGCACAAACUCUCUUUAAACAACCAAUCUCACUCAUUCCCAAGUUUCCCUUUUCUUUGCAUUGAGCUUUUCUUCUCAUUUUAUCUUCUUUUUUUCUAUAUUUUUCAAUUUUUUAUGUUUUGCUCAACACAUUAGCUCAAUGCUUAUCUUUUUCUUUUUCAACUUUCCCAACAGCCCCAAACUUGAACCUUUAUCAAUACCACAC